rnacentral:lncRNA from 1 species
GCUUUCAGGCAGUGGAACUUUUCCCUCUGUAGUGAGGUUCUCAUGCUUUAGGAAACAUAAUCUUCCCUGUAUCAUAUUAUAAGUGCUUAGGGCCAGUGAGGGGCUCAGUGAUUAAAGGUGCUUGCCGCCAAUCCUGCUAACCUGUGUUCCUUCCUAGGAACUCAUGUGGUGGGAGGAAAGAAUAGAUUCCUGAAAGAUGCUUCCUGACCUCCACAUGUAUGUGUCUGUGUGCAUGUGUGUGUGUGCACAUGUAACUAAAUGAAUAAAAGGCAAUAUAAAGAAAACAAUUUAUCAGCCCUUCGCGAUGAUGAAAGAUCAGUGGAAAUAAAGCCCUAUGCUCCAUUUCUGCCUAAGCUCUGCUUUUAUCUUAUUGAGUUUUUAUCCUGGUUUCACUUAAUUAUCUAUGAAAGGCAAUGUCAAACAGACCGGGGAUUACACAACUGAAGGUUAAGAUUUCCUGCAGGUAACUGAUAAAAUGAACUGGUCCCAGUGCUGGAUAUUGAACCUCAUGGCUCUCUGAUUAUUCUACUGAUGAAUAAAAUUUGAUAUUUCCAGGGUGUAGAGAACAGUUUAAUUCACCAUCUGAAUACUUAAUCUGUGCAAAUGUUAUGUUAGACUUUUCAAAGAUUCAGAAAAAUAGAUCUAUAGUCAUAAUAUUGUUUUUUGCUUAGAUUUACUCAGUUCUAGGCUCUAUAUGUAAAUAUAUAUUUUUUAUUUAUUCUGAGACCUACAGAAUCACCAAUUUUGUGAAUAAUAUUUUAAUUACCCAUAAAUGGAUAUGAAAAUUAGACAGGAAAAGGUUAAGUUAAUUUACAGACACCAUAGCUUUUCAUUUUUAAAUGUUCAUAAAAAUCACAUGUAGUCAUUAAUUCUGUGCUUAAGUUUUAAUUUUGGGGGUGGAGGGCCAGAACAAUGGCCAAACUGAGAUAUAUUUACAGCAAAUGUCAGAAGACACACACACACAAAUUUCUAAGAAAAUUGACAUUGGACUGUAGUAAAGAGGCUAAAGAACAUUCUAAAGAAACAAAAUAUUCCUCCAAGCCUCACUCUGAGACAUGAUUAGAAUUUCCCGGGCUAUAAAACAUUAUGUUUUUCAGUGACAUUUCUGAGAAGUAGAGGAUAGAAAGGGAAACACUCAAGGACCAUUUUAGAGUUUAAGCUUAUCAAGAACAGUGACUAAGGGUGGAGAUAUUAUGCAUCACUGUUCCAGAAAGAAUACAGUGGAUAUUCAUCGUCUUAGUGAGGGUUUAUAUUGCUGUGAAAAAAUAUUAUGAUCAAAAAUCAAGUUCAAGGGAAAGGGUUUAAUGCACAAGCCAUGGAGUAUGUUGCUGACUGGCUUGCUUCCCAUGGCUUGCUCAGCCUGCUUUCUUAUAGAUCCCAGAACCAUCAGCCAAGGGCUGGCACCACCCAAAAUUCAGCUGGGCCCUCCCUCAUCAACCACUAAGUGAGAAAACCCCUUACCUC